UCCAGAUGAAAUCCAACCAUAAGAAUCAAAUCCUCGAAUCAUCCGAGCACGCAAAACCCACAAACCCUACGGAAUCGGAGAUGCGAGUACCAACAACCCAGUCACCACCAGACCGCCAAAUCGCCACAAGCGCAAGGAGGCGACACAAGAUAACAUCGAUCCCGUUCGCGACAGCAUCGGGUAGCACAGAUCAAGCGAGGAGGGGCCAAGAAGGAACGGCACCUGAGGAAGAGAAGGAGGCUGCGGCGGGAGGAGGAGGCGCAGGUGACGGCGCCCCUCGCGUCGCUGCUCGUGCUCUCCCGGUUUGCGGCGGCUGCGUCUGGGGAUUGGGUGGGGGACGGGAUGGAGCUAGGUUUUAAGGAAGUGCGCUAGGGCACCGGAAUGGGCUAUUGGGCCAGAAAGUCAUCCGAUGGGGCAAAAAUGAGCAAACACAGCACUGCUCGAAUUUCCUUUUCUUCUUUUAAAAAAUUAGUACAUAAUUGCCCGUCCCUAAAAAAUACAACUCUCGGUUCUAAAAGAGUCAAACAAUUUUAAAUUUUAUCAAACUAACAUUUAUGUCUCCAAAUAGAAUUAGUAUAAAUUAUAUUAUAUAAUUAAUCUAAUGAUACUUAUUUUUUAACAUAAAUAUUAAUAUUAUUUUGUAUAAAUUUGGUCAACUUCAAAUUUUUUUGACUCCUCGAGGAGUGGGAGUUUCAAUCUUUUAGGACAAAGAAAGUAUAUUCUUUUACCUAGAGAACGAGAUGAUAUAGUGCGUGCUCAUGGCUUCUCAUAAUCUCAUUAUUAUUUGGUGAUAUCCAACACAUUAAACGUACACUGCAAACUCAAUUAUUGAUGAGCAUGAUGACUUUUUUCUCUUAUCCCUGGUUCGUACUCUCAUGCUCCAGCAUCAAUUGGAGUUGGACGGGCAACAAGAUGUGAGGGAGAAUCUCUGUUCUUCGGGAAAUAAAGAUUGAGAGGAAAAACAUCUUGGCUCGGCCAAGGCUGGCCAUUGUGUUUGUUUGUUUGUUUUAGUUGAGGAUUUGAGGCCACCUGCCUCUGAUGGAGACAAAGCUGGAUACAUCUACAAUUGCAUUGUCUACCUGAUGAUGAUGGAGUUAAGAUAGAGUUGAACCAUUGCGUUGCAAAGCUGCAAGUAUGAUCCAUCAUCAACCUUUGGUUUGCAAUAAGAUAAGAAUGUAAUGACACAAUUUAAGAAGUCAUUAUAUGGUUCUCUAUAUCCUCUCCCAUCAAAAUGAAUCAGUUCUAUAUAUCAGUAGCUCUGUGAAGCUGCUAGUAUAGCAUUUGAGGAUAUUCAAACACUCGACCCAAAUUGCAGUCUGAGUGCUACUAGGAUAGUGAUAUAAUACAGGGAAAAAGUAAUAAUCUCCUAACAUUCUCUUUUGUUAGGCAGCUUCUUCAGUUUACCAUGUUUGCAUAUGCUUGGUCUCUAAGUGGAAAUACAAUCAUAAGUUAUUUGGGAUAAAGCGGAUUUUUACUAUGAAGAGUUGAAGACAAUCUAAACAGUACCUUCUUGGUAGUGAGAUGUAUGUAGGGAGAAGAUUUUUUAUUGUCAAAAUAAAUGAUUAUUUUGGACCGGGGAGAUGAGCUGUAGGAUUGGAUGUAGGGCACAAAUCCUCAACUCCUUUUUUAUGCCAAUAUAAAAGGCAUGUCUUUUCUUGCCCAACAUGAAUUCGUUUUUUAGAAGAAUGCUAGAUAAUUUGUUGGGUUUAAUUGGGUAUCUUGAAACUUGACCCAUCAACAGUAUGCUCGUGUUCAUUGCCUCCAGGAGUGAGAGGAACUCAGAGUCUUUUCCAAUUUACUCGUUUUCAGAUGGGAUUGAAAGAAAUGCCAGUUAAGUGGUUGUACGAUUACCUUGCACAUGUAUAUUUCAAUUUUUUUUAGCAUUUUGUCAUUGCAUAAGGACAUGAUUCAGACUACCUUCUACAUGGAUUCUUUUGUUCUAUUUAGAAAUGAUACACUUGCAUCUGUGUUUAGGAUGUUAUCAGGAUUGAAGGAACAUUUAAGUAUAGCACGAGUUAAAUCUAGGCAGAUCCUUACAUGCUUAUCUUACAUAAUUUUCUAAUGUUCAAUUUAUUCUAAUUUUUCAGUAUAGUUUGGAUCCACCGUAACUUCAGCUCCAUUACAUCUUGUGCAUGGAAAAUGUUUGAUAUAUGGACUAAGACUACUUCCACUAUCUGCAUCACCUAAACUAUAUUUAUAUAUGAUUCUGCUUGAGCUACUGAUGGAAUGGACCAAAGAAAAUAGGAUCAGGGAGCAAUACUCUCAGGACUCCGUCGCAGCCUCACAGGGGCCGGUAAAGCCUUCCAAUUCAAAAUAUUUUUCUUAUGCGUUUAGUGAAGCUAUAAAGGUUCCUUGCUGUAAUUUUGUUUAUUUUAUCACUGGGAAUUUAAUCAUUAGCUGAAUUGUGUCAGAUGUUUAGGUUGUGUUUGGUUUGAAUGAUGAGCUUGGAGGGAGUAGUGUCAUCCCGAUUUUCAGCGUAACUUGGCUAGAAACAGAUCAUGCAGGGAUUGGCGGCCCCCAAAAAAGUUGUAACCUGCGUUACAUUGCAUACUCAUUUCUCUCGAUUGUGAAAAUCACCAGCUAGUUCGAUGAAAAAUGCAGGCACAGACCGAUAUAUUUAUCCCAUAUCGGUAUUACUAAAGUACCAGGGAAGAAAUAGCCAUAUCAGUAUUACUCUUCUCAAGUACCAGGUAAGAAAUGCAAGACGAGCAUAGAUGAUGUAUUUCAACCUCUGAACAAAUUACCAAUCAAAUUCAAUCACCAGACCAGAGAAAGAGAAAACUUAAAAGAUACCCAAGCACUUGCAUUCAACAAACAUCGAAAGGAGCACAAAUCAGUCUCAGGUAAUUGAAGUUUUGCCGAAUCCAAAACAUUAAAACCGUAUGUUUCCGACGCACAGACUGAGGGCACAUUGCCAGCUGAUAAUAAUACUUCACGAGAUAACAGCAAUGACCAUGGACAAAACUUAAGCGAUAAUAAAGCAUCUAGGUAUGCCAAAUGCAGACGCAGGAUCAACCACCGAACACAUCAUUUCUUCUUGGCUGCAGCCUUGGUCACCUUGGCACCGGUCGGGUCCUUCUUCUCCACGCUCUUGAUGACUCCAACAGCAACCGUUUGCCUCAUGUCACGGACAGCGAAACGACCAAGAGGAGGGUACUCGGAGAAGGUCUCCACCACCAUGGGCUUGGUGGGAACCAUCUUAACCAUACCAGCAUCACCGUUCUUGAGGAACUUGGGCUCCUUCUCAAGCUCCUUACCAGAUCGCCUGUCGAUCUUGGUAACGAGCUCAGCAAACUUGACAGCGAUGUGGGAGGUGUGGCAGUCCAGCACUGGGGCGUAGCCGUUGCCGAUCUGUCCAGGGUGGUUCAUGAUGAUGACCUGGGAGGUGAAGCUCGCAGCCUCCUUGGCAGGGUCAUCCUUGGAGUUGGAGGCCACAUACCCACGCUUCAGAUCCUUCACGGCAACGUUCUUCACGUUGAAGCCAACAUUGUCACCAGGAAGGGCCUCCUGGAGAGCCUCGUGGUGCAUCUCGACGGACUUCACCUCAGUAGUCAGGCCGCUGGGACCAAAGGUAACAACCAUACCAGGCUUGAUGAUACCGGUCUCAACACGGCCAACGGGGACAGUUCCAAUACCACCAAUCUUGUACACAUCCUGAAGGGGGAGACGCAGGGGCUUGUCCGAAGGCCUCUUGGGCUCGUUGAUCUGGUCAAGAGCCUCAAGCAGGGUUGGGCCCUUGUACCAGUCAAGGUUGGUGGACCUCUCAAUCAUGUUGUCACCCUCAAAACCAGAGAUGGGGACGAAGGCGAUCUUGUCAGGGUUGUAGCCGACCUUCUUCAGGUAGGAGGAGACUUCCUUAACAAUCUCAUCAUAACGGGCCUUGGAGUACUUGGGAGUGGUGGCAUCCAUCUACAAACAAAAUAGCAACAUAACAUGUAUUAGCUUAAUGUAAGAGAUCGCAUGAACAGCAAGGAAACAGUACAUACACGAGAACAUCACAUUAAUCAAAAGUAACUAGUACACUGCACUUCUUUAGGAAAUAAAGUAGUUUGAAGUGGCAUCUCAACAGUAACAACCAAUUAUACAUAGGUAGAUCAUCAUGUAUCACGUGCGUAUCCAAGUUAGCAACUGCAGGCUGUGAGCCUGUAACAAGUAUCAAAUAUAAAGCAAGUACAAAUAAAGACCUCAUCAGGUAUGUCACACAUCCCAUUACUAAAAUGCAGCACAUUAAGUAAUAAGAUCAAUCUUAUGAGACAGUUAAAUAAUGCAACACUUGUCUUUGAAUUCUGCAUGCAUUACAAGUAUUAUAGUAACUUCAGCACAUUACUCAAAACAGUUGAACAAGAAACUUAUACCAAAAUUACAAAAAAAAAAACAUCUCCCUGCACAUAUAUCAGAAAAUGGAAUUCAAUGUCGAUGAACUGCUAUGAUUCAUAAAUAUGUAGGAAACAGAUGGUUAAUCAGUAGAAGCAUUGGCACUUAUCACAUACUAUUAUGCUUUCAGAAUACAACUCACAUACUACUUACUAUACUAGCAUUGUCAUAGAAACAUAAUUGAGUAUCCUCACCACACAGAAUGCAAGACAAAUAAAGCUGGACUGCAGAAAUGUAUAUUUAAGAGCAUCUCAGAUAACGAACAAGAGUAAGACAGGAAUUUCUGGGAUUAUACCUUGUUGCAGCAGCAGAUCAUCUGCUUCACUCCAAGAGUGAAAGCAAGGAGAGCAUGCUCACGGGUCUGGCCAUCCUUGGAGAUACCAGCCUCAAAACCACCAGUGGUGGAGUCAAUGAUAAGGACAGCACAGUCAGCCUGGGAGGUACCCGUGAUCAUGUUCUUGAUGAAGUCACGGUGACCAGGGGCAUCAAUGACCGUGCAGUAGUACUUGGUGGUCUCGAACUUCCACAGGGCGAUAUCAAUGGUGAUACCCCUCUCACGCUCGGCCUUGAGCUUGUCAAGCACCCACGCGUACUUGAAGGACCUCUUGUUCAUCUCAGCGGCCUCCUUCUCGAACCUCUCGAUCACACGCUUGUCGAUGCCUCCAAGCUUGUAGAUCAGGUGGCCGGUGGUGGUCGACUUGCCGGAGUCGACGUGGCCAAUGACCACGAUGUUGAUGUGGGACUUCUCCUUACCCAUGGCUGCGUGCGAAGCUUAAACCGCUGCACCAGAUGAAUCGGUUGUUAGAAAUACUAAACAGAGAGAACGAGCAAGUAUCAGCACCGAAUCUGAAAGGCAGUAUAAUAUAAUAAACACUUGAAGGCAGCAGACAAAACAAUUUCACAGACCAGAUCCGAAACUAGAUCAAACAAGGACGUUGCAACUACAUAAACAUCAACUGCACAGCCGGAUACACAGCAGCAACCUCCUAAAUAAAGGAAUUACAGCAACCCUACACUCUAAACAUCCGAUCCACAAGUAUAGUUAACAAAUCAACCUAAAGUAUCUACGUAACUAUCCGGAUCCAGAUGAAAUCCAACCAUAAGAAUCAAAUCCUCGAAUCAUCCGAGCACGCAAAACCCACAAACCCUACGGAAUCGGAGAUGCGAGUACCAACAACCCAGUCACCACCAGACCGCCAAAUCGCCACAAGCGCAAGGAGGCGACACAAGAUAACAUCGAUCCCGUUCGCGACAGCAUCGGGUAGCACAGAUCAAGCGAGGAGGGGCCAAGAAGGAACGGCACCUGAGGAAGAGAAGGAGGCUGCGGCGGGAGGAGGAGGCGCAGGUGACGGCGCCCCUCGCGUCGCUGCUCGUGCUCUCCUGGUUUGCGGCGGC
rnacentral:lncRNA from 1 species